rnacentral:rRNA from 1 species
CCUACGAGUGGCAGCAGUGAGGAAUAUUGGUCAAUGGACGAGAGUCUGAACCAGCCAAGCAGCGUGAAGGAUGACUGCCCUAGGGGUUGUAAACUUCUUUUAUAUGGGAAUAAAAUGUUCCACGUGUGGGAUUUUGUAUGUACCAUAUGAAUAAGGAUCGGCUAACUACGUGCCAGCAGCCGCGGUAAUACGGAGGAUCCGAGCGUUAUCCGGAUUUCUUGGGUGUAAAGGGAGCGUAGGUGGAUUGUUAAGUCAGUUGUGAAAGUUUGCGGCUCAAACGUAAAAUUGCAGUUGAAACUGGCAGUCUAGAGUACAGUAGAGGGAGGAGGAAUUCGUGGUGUAGCGGUGAAAUGCUUAGAUAUCACGAAGAACUCCGAUUGCGAAGGCAGCUCACUGGACUGCAACUGACACUGAGGCUCGAAAGUGUGGGUAUCAAACAGGAUUAGAUACCCGUGUAGUC